GAAACAUGAAAUUUAAUCAAAAAUUUGUAGGAUUUCCCUAUCCUUUUUCUCUGAUUUUCUAGUCUGUUGUUUAUAGGUGUCCUCCAAUGAAGGUACUUCACUAUCACACAAUAGCUGAUACAUGAGUGAGAUCUGUUUUGCAGAUGGUAUGAUGGAUAUGGGUCUCACUGAGCAUUACAGCAUAUGCAAUGUAGGUUUACUCCUUGCUCACAUGGUGGACGUUUUUUUAGCUGGCAAACAUCUACAAAGCUGCUACAGUCAACAACCUAAACCAGUGUGAUGUUCAUGUCUGAAAAUACAAAUAUGUGUGCAGAAGAAGACAGACUCCUCCAUGUGGUAAACCAGUGAAGGAUAGGCCUGUGAGAAAGAUCUUCAACCACAAAAGCCACCAGAAUUCACAAAGUUCAAAAAUAGGAAGAAGCUGGGUGAACGAAGCCUGAACAAAUUACAUUACAUCGAUGGAUUUCACAUGGAAAACAGCGAGAAAAAUGUGCAGCCACAAGGGUGUCUCUUUUGGUGGAAGUACCUGCCCCUGUUUGGUGGUAAUUUCAUUUGAGUGUAUUCUCAAAAUCACAAGGGGAUGUAUUAAAACAGAAGAACAGAUGAGAACAAAGCUGGUAUGUACAAAGAGGAGCUGAGAAGCUGUGUGGAGCAAUAAACGUGCAAUAUAGGACCA
rnacentral:lncRNA from 1 species